UGACUGUAGAGGGUCAUAUGACACCUGCAGACUGGAGUGGUUAAUCCCGGAGCCAACGGCGUUCAGCAGAGGAGGCAAUGUUUACCGAUGGUGUGCUGUCGGCAUUCACGUGGUUCUUCCCAAGUUUCCUCAGAGAAAGGAUGUUCUGGCUGGUCUAUCAACAGCUUCUCAGUACUUGGAUAUGCUGGCAGACAGAUUAAAGGGAAGAUAUUAUUUUCAAAGUCUGUCAAAGAAUCAAACCAGUUAUAACAAUGGAAUGGAUCAGAGCACGGCUGACCAUGAAGGCUUGUGAUAUCAGCUAGAGACAGACAUCUCAGAGGAGACAAGUUAUAGCAUGUCAUCAUGAAAGUCUCGAGUCACAACAAGUCAGUGCCCAGAACACAUGGCUGCAACAUGGACAAAUCUGGAGACUAAGUCUACCUCAGGAAAUAAGCUAGUCCCAGAAGGACCGAUGCUGAAUAAUUACAUUAGCAGCAGGUAUCUUAACUAAUACAGAAAGUAGCAUAGGGUGACCAUGGACUGGAGAAGGAGAUAGGGAUUCAGUUUGGGAUGAUGAGAGCAUUCUGGAGCUGAAUCAUGGUGAUUACUCUGACAGUGUGCACUGGGACACAGUUGAAAUGAGACAUUUCGAGUUAUGUGGCUCUAUUAUGUAACAACAUUCUGUCAUCAAGAGCACCACGAAGCUCUUAAGAAGUAAACAACUAACAAAGUCUCAGGAAGCUCCUGAAAUUUAUAAGACUUACAAGACCACUCAGAAGAGUUAUAUUAGCAGUAAGACUUCUGGGGAAAAGAAACUUUUCAACCUACCAAGCUGACUGCGAAGUGUGCAUAAAGCUCCAGGGAGACAGUGUUCAUGGGGCAAACUUAGGCUAGGGCAAACUUUUUAGGAAUGGAGUCGUCUUUCAGCAGUCUGUGCCCUGUAUCCUCAUCCACUGACUCCUUGUUAUGCAAACUGCACAGAAGAAGGACUCUGAGCCCAGGUUCUUCCAUUCCUUGACAAGAAAAUCACGAGUAAACCUAAUGG